rnacentral:snoRNA from 1 species
UAUCCAUGGUGGGGACACAGAUUUAAUAGAUUUUUAAAACGAUCCCAAGCUUGAUAGAGAGUUUCAUCUUCCUUCUGAGUGAAAUUCAAAAUCUGUCGUUUCAAAUU